GUCUGCUUAGCUCAGUGGGAGAGCGACGGUCUGAAGCGUCGAGUUCAUAAGAACUUAUCGUUUACCGCAGGUCCUGUGUUCAAUCCACAGAGCGGACA